UGAAGGCCUUCGGGUUGUAAAGUUCAGUAAGCAGGGAAGAAUAAGCGGGAGGUAAUAUUUCCCGUGAUGACGGUACCUGCCUAAAGCCCCGGCUAACUACGUGC
rnacentral:rRNA from 1 species